CCUACGGGAGGCAGCAGUGAGGAAUAUUGGUCAAUGGGCGGGACUCUGAACCAGCCACGCCGCGUGAAGGAAGAAGGCGCCAGGCGUCGUAAACUUCUUUUGUCGGGGAACAAAGGGCGCCACGUGUGUCGUUGUGAGUGUACCCGAAGAAAAAGCAUCGGCUAACUCCGUGCCAGCAGCCGCGGUAAUACGGAGGAUGCGAGCGUUAUCCGGUUUUAUUGGGUUUAAAGGGUGCGAAGGCGGUCCGGAAAGUCAGCGGUAAAGCCCGGGGCUCAAACCCGGCGAGCCGUUGAAACGGUCGGACGAGAGAGGGCGAGAAGGACGCGGAAUGCGCGGUGGAGCGGUGAAAUGCAGAGAUAUCGCGCAGAAAUCCGAGUGGGAAGGGAGGGUAACGGCGCCGGAAUGACGCUGAGGCAUGAAAGCGUGGGGAUCGAACAGGAUUAGAUACCCUAGUAGUC
rnacentral:rRNA from 1 species